AGUCGAACGCAGUAGCAAUACUGAGUGGCAAACGGGUGAGUAUAAUGUGGGAAUCUGCCUUUUGGUUUGGAAUAACACGAGGAAACUUGUGCUAAUACCGAAUAAGCCUUUACAGGGAAAGUUUUAACGCCGAAAGAUGAGCCCGCACUUGAUUAGCUAGUUGGUAAGGUAAAAGCUUACCAAGGCAAUGAUCAAUAGCUGUUCUUAGAGGAAGACCAGCCACAUUGGGACUGAGACACGGCCCAGACUCCUACGGGAGGCAGCAGUGGGGAAUCUUGCACAAUGGGGGAAACCCUGAUGCAGCGAUGCCGCGUGAGUGAAGAAGGCCCUUGGGUUGUAAAACUCUUUCGUCGGGGAAGAAAACGACUGUACCCGAAUAAGAAGGUCCGGCUAACUUCGUGCCAGCAGCCGCGGUAAUACGAAGGGACCUAGCGUAGUUCGGAAUUACUGGGCUUAAAGAGCUCGUAGGUGGUUAAAAAAGUUGAUGGUGAAAUCCCAAGGCUUAACCUUGGAACUGCCAUCAAAACUUUUUAGCUAGAGUGUGAUAGAGGUAAGUGGAAUUUCUAGUGUAGAGGUGAAAUUCGUAGAUAUUAGAAAGAACACCAAAUGCGAAGGCAACUUACUGGGUCACUACUGACACUGAGGAGCGAAAGCAUGGGUAGCGAGAAGGAUUAGAUACCCUCGUAGUCCAUGCCGUAAACGAUGUGUGCUAGACGUUGGAAAUAUAUUUUUCAGUGUCGCAGCGAAAGCAUUAAGCACACCGCCUGGGGAGUACGACCGCAAGGUUAAAACUCAAAUGAAUUGACGGGGACCCGCACAAGCAGUGGAGCAUGUGGUUUAAUUCGAAGAUACGCGCAGAACCUUACCAACACUUGACAUGAUCGUCGCGAGCCUAAGAGAUUAGGCUUUUCAGUUUGGCUGGACGAAACACAGGUGCUGCAUGGCU
rnacentral:rRNA from 1 species